GAAUAGGGGCUUGUCUCCACAUUUGGGAAGGUAGCUCGGGAGUGCAGCCUGGCAAGCACCUCGAGGGCGGGGACUGUGUUUCCUCUCUGCUCCCCAGGGCCCUGGGCAGUCUCUAGCACAGAGCAGGUGCACGAGCAGCUGUCACUUAGGCUUCUACCUGAAAUGCUGUCCCAGGGCCUGCAUGCACACGCACACAAAUACAAAUACAUAUACACAAACAUAUGCAUGUGCGUGCACACACACAAAUACAUCUACACAAACAUGCAUGUGUAUGUGCACACACACACAAACCUACACACAUUUAACCACGCACAUACAUAGACACCCACAUACAAAUAUACAUACACAUGCACAUACAUAUACAUAAACAUACAGACUCAUAUACAUACGUAUAUAAACACAUGCAUACACACAAAGGUACAUACACAAACACACUCACACAUGCAUUCAUACACCCACACAUGUGCACAGAUGUACAUUAAUAUACACAGACAUGAUUCUUGCCUAACUCCUAUUCAUCUUUCGUGUCUUCAGAGACCUUGACCCUGACCCUCCUUCUGGUCAGGGCCAGGUUCUCUGUCCCAUAAUGUCAUGGCAACAGCCACCAAGCCCAACACGCUUGUAGUUGCUUGCCCAGUUUCUGUCUUUGGCUGGAUUAUUAAUUUCAUGAGAGGAGUCUCUUGUUCGUCCCUGCAUCCUCAGUGUCUAGCAUAGUCUGUGGCCCAUAAAUAAAUGUUGAUUGAGGAAUGAAUACCUGGUUUUUGAGUGUUUAAUUUGUUGUUGAAAUAUUGGCAAGUAUUUCAUGCAUCACAACAUCAGUGGAAGGAUUGAUUAAUCAAUGUCUUCUUACAAAAAAAAUACACAGAGUGGGCCGGGUGCGGUGGCUCACGCCUGUAAUCCCGGCACUUUGGGAGGCCGAGGCAGGCGGAUCACAAGGUCAGGAGAUCGAGACCAUCCUGGCUAACAUGGUGAAACCCCGUCUCUACUAAAAAUGUAAAAAAAAAAUUAGCCUGGCAUGGUGGCGGGCGCCUGUAGUCCCAGCUACUCGGGAGGCUGAGGCAGGAGAA
rnacentral:lncRNA from 1 species